CACGGAAUUAGCCGGUCCUUUUUCUGAAGGUACAUACAAUAAGGGACACGUCCCUUUUUUAUUCCCAACUAAAAGCAGUUUACAACCCGGAGGGCCGUCAUCCUGCACGCUACUUGGCUGGUUCAGACUUGCGUCCAUUGACCAAUAUUCUUCACUGCCGCCUCCCGUAGGAGUCUGGACCGUGUCUCAGUUCCAGUGUGGGGGACCUUCCUCUCAGAACCCCUACCGAUCGAAGGCUAGGUGGGCCGUUACCCCGCCUACUACCCUAAUCGGACGCAUCACCAUCUCAUACCGAUAAAUCUUUGAUUAGCCCACCAUGCGGAGAACUAAUAACAUCGGGUAUUAAUCUUACUUUCGCAAGGCUAUCCCCGAGUAUGAGGCAGGUUUGAUACGCGUUACGCACCCGUGCGCCGGUCGCCAUCAGAGAAGCAAGCUUCUUCCAUGCUGCCCCUCGACUUGCAUGUGUUAAGCCUGUAGCUAGCGUUCAUCCUGAGCCAGGAUCAAACUCU
rnacentral:rRNA from 1 species